GUGGUGCAUUAAUAAAUUGGUGGGGUAAAGGCCUACCAAGACAAUGAUGCAUAGCCGAGUUGAGAGACUGAUCGGCCACAUUGGGACUGAGACACGGCCCACACUCCUACGGGAGGCUGCAGUAGGGAAUCUUCCACAAUGGGCGAAAGCCUGAUGGAGCAACGCCGCGUGUGUGAUGAAGGCUUUCGGGUCGUAAAGCACUGUUGUAUGGGAAGAACAGCUAGAAUAGGAAAUGAUUUUAGUUUGACGGCACCAUACCAGAAAGGGACGGCU
rnacentral:rRNA from 1 species